GACGAACGCUGGCGGCGUGCUUAACACAUGCAAGUCGAACGGUGAAGGGACUGGUUUUGCUGGUCCUGGAUGAGUGGCGAACGGGUGAGUAACACGUGAGUAACCUGCCCCCUUCUUCUGGAUAACCGCAUGAAAGUGUGGCUAAUACGGGAUAUUCUGGGUCUGUCGCAUGGUGGGCCUGGGAAAGAUUGCGCCUUUUUUGGUGUUUUUGGUGGGGGAGGGGCUCGCGGCCUAUCAGCUUGUUGGUGGGGUGAUGGCCUACCAAGGCGGUGACGGGUAGCCGGCCUGAGAGGGUGGACGGUCACACUGGGACUGAGACACGGCCCAGACUCCUACGGGAGGCAGCAGUGGGGAAUAUUGCACAAUGGGCGCAAGCCUGAUGCAGCGACGCCGCGUGAGGGAUGGAGGCCGUCGGGUUGUGAACCUCUUUCGCCAGUGAAGCAGGCCUGCCUCUUUUUGUGGGUGGGUUGACGGUAGCUGGAUAAGAAGCGCCGGCUAACUACGUG
rnacentral:rRNA from 1 species